rnacentral:rRNA from 1 species
UAGUCAUAUGCUUGUCCCAAAGAUUAAGCCAUGCAUGUCUAAGUAUAAAUCUUUGUACGGUGAAACUGCGAAUGGCUCAUUAUAUCAGUUAUAAUUUAUUUGAUGAUCACUUUACUACUUGGAUAACCGUGGUAAUUCUAGAGCUAAUACAUGCAAAGAACCCAACUUCUGGAAGGGUUGUAUUUAUUAGAUUAAAACCAAUGCCAGCAAUGGCGCUUGGUGAGUCAUGAUAACUGCGCGGAUCGCAUGGCCUUGUGCCGGCGACGCUUCAUUCAAA